AACGCUGGCGGCGUGCCUAAUACAUGCAAGUCGAACGGUCUUUCUAUGGAAGCUUGCUUCACUGAGAAGAUAGUGGCGAACGGGUGAGUAACACGUGGGUAACCUGCCCAUAAGAGGGGGAUAACAUCCGGAAACGGGUGCUAAUACCGCAUAGUUUUCUUGAUCGCAUGAUCGGGAAAGGAAAGACGGCCUUUGUGCUGUCGCUUAUGGAUGGACCCGCGGCGUAUUAGUUAGUUGGUGAGGUAACGGCUCACCAAGACGAUGAUACGUAGCCGACCUGAGAGGGUGAUCGGCCACAUUGGGACUGAGACACGGCCCAAACUCCUACGGGAGGCAGCAGUAGGGAAUCUUCCGCAAUGGACGAAAGUCUGACGGAGCAACGCCGCGUGAGUGAAAGAAGGUUUUCGGAUCGUAAAACUCUGUUGUCAGAGAAGAACAAGUUGGAGAGUAACUGCUCCAGCCUUGACGGUAUCUGACCAGAAAGCCACGGCUAACUACGUGCCAGCCGCCGC
rnacentral:rRNA from 1 species